AACCCAGCAGAGGAGCAGGCAGGGAAGGGAGGGUGGAAGGACAGAGGCUCCCCUUUCUUCUGGGCUUGGUUCCGGAGGAGGCCAAAAGAGAGUUUACCAGGGAAGCAAUUUGAAGGCAAAAGUCCACUCUAAAGUGAAGAUUCCUCCAGAAGCCGUCCACGGAGACCACGAUCAGGAAGCCUGGGCCGGUAAAUAGCAGUCAUAAUGAGAAGGGACUUUCUCCCCUACUGUGAUGACGAUCCCAGUAUUUACUGCCACCAGUAUUGAUCAAAGGUACCAGAUCUCCUGUCAAGAGACAUUGUACUGAAUGGA
rnacentral:lncRNA from 1 species